CUCGGCUCUCCAUGGCACAUGGUUCCCCACCCCUGACCGAAACGAAAGGAUUACUUAUCAUGAAACUGCAUCUGCCUGCAUAAAGUCCUGAGCUCAACUACCUUUGGGAUGAUCUGAAACACCGACUGAGAGCCAAGCCUCAUCGCCUAUUAUCGGUGUGUGACCUUACUAAUACUCUAAUAGGAGCAAAUCCGUAAAGCCAGGUUUAGAAAUUAUGCGGAGUCAUCCGGACAGUGGAGGAUGCACGCGGACAUCAGCAGAUUAUUGCACGUGCUUUUUUAAUGAGGCGUUUAACAACCACCCAACUAAACCUUCAAAGCCAGCUGACUUCGACAAACACUUUUUAUUUUGUGACUAAACACCAGGGGGCAGAAGAAGCCAUACAUGACUGUCUGCACGAGAAAAUCCAACUAAUGAACCUAAUGGAUGUUUUAAGUUCUUAGUUGAUGUACAACACAAACGAGGAACUAUUUUUCAUCUUUGAAGGAAAAGACAUAAGAAGCACAGCUGAAGACUUGCAUUAAUUAGCUGAUUUUCCAAGUCUCAUUCUCCUUUCAGGGCUUGUUUCUUCUUAUCUUCGUCUGUGGAGCUCUCCAAGUUUGUUUCUUUCCUCUACCACCUGACCACGUGCCUGUUUGAUUGACGGACUAUUAGAGGUGAGUGGACGUAUUAAUCCGCGGACAGUCAUGACUGGCGUAGGAAAUGCUACAACAGUUUUCACAGCGGUGCUGACAUUUGUCACAGCUCUUUCCAAAGCCUGCCGUACUUAACACUACACACACUGCACGCCUGAGCAGCACGUGACGGCAGACUCGUGCACGGUGGCAGUGUGAUUACAGGUGAGCUUCAGAGGGAGCCAUCACACGCUGCUCAGCAGGGUGUCUACAGUGAUGUGCCAACAGGUCCCUUUCCUUAAGAUAUUUCUUAUAUGCUACUGCAUUACUAAGUCUUAUUUUCCUGUUAUGAUAUGGACUGACUGAGUAAGUUAACGGUGUCUUAAAGGGAUAUUCCGGCAUAAAAUUAAUUUAGGGUCAAACACACCAUAACACCAGACACCACCUGGAGAAAUGAAUGUUGCCAACUUCUUGCUUCUCUAGUUAUACCAACUUUAGUAACAACCACACGAUAGCAAUACACAGCGGUCUGAGGAGCCAUAAACAAACCUCAACCAAAACGCCACUCUAUAGCCACAAAUAAUGCUCAGAACAGCACCUAACUUCAUCAACAGUACAUAUAGGGUCCUAGCCACAGCACCAGCCACCAAACAUCUUUUUAACUUUGCCAAAUGUCUUCAGCAAAGAGACUAAAUUCAUCACCUACUCUCUUCCAGCAGCUGCUUGUUUGUAGCGAGACCUCAGACCAGUUCAUUACAGACUGCUGCGGGGUGAUGCAUCUCAAGGAAGAACAUUUCUGAUCAAAAUAAAUUUCACUGUUGUUUACUCUGUAGACUCAGUGACUAUGGAAAAAUAUGUCAAAGGGCAAGCCAAAUUCAUCACAUAUGACUUGGAUCAAUGGAUGAAUGGAUCCAUUGAAUGGGUCCAUUGAUUUUGGAUCAAUUUCUGUAUACCCUAAUCAGAACAACAACAACAGAGAUGAUGUUAGCUUAUCCAUGGCCAAUGAGGACUCUGUUUCUGUCAGGUUGAAGAUGAGGGCUCCUCUUAGAAAAACUUUGAGCCACCAUCAAGCAGUUGUAUGACUGAAAUAACCGCAAGUUUGGAGUUGAAAACAAAGUGCUUGCUGCUCUCUUUUCCUUGUGGAAGAAUGGGCUAGUAGUAAAGUUUCUGGUCCUCAUGCAUGAAGCCUGUAGAAGAAAAAAAAAAAGAUCUACAGAGACAGGACAGCUAAGCUCAGCAGUAGGUUGCAGGAAGAGAGCCUGUCUUCACUUCUCUUUGUGGACAUAAAUGGACCCCCUGUGGACACUUCUUGGAAUCAGGAUGAAAAUUAAGAGAGGCUCAGUCCUCUGAAGUCGGAGAGAAAUGUUCAGAUUUGAAGUCCAUGAUCGCUCUAACUGAACUGUGAUACACCUGCUGUGAUUGUGCGGUUUGUGUGCCUGCCUGAAGCAUGAGUGUGAAGAAUGCAGUGUGUAUUAUUGCUUGGUUUAUAGCAUAAGUGUCGAUACUAGCCAUGGUGAGGUGUGUGUGGGUGUGUGUGUGUGUGUGCAUAGUGUGUAGUGUGUACAUGAAGCUGAAUUUGGAUACUGAAUCUGUGCAAUAAGAUGUCAGUAUUUCUCUGAAGCAUUACACUGCAUAAGAACUUAAUGUGCUUUUAGGACAUGCUUCCUAAAUAAAUUUAUGAGUUUGCUGCUUUUACUGAACAAAUAACCAGGAGAGGAUGACGUGUAGGCUACUGAAGUAAAAAGUAAGCCAUAAAUUACAGUUUAAAGUGACUGAAUUACUUUUAUGAUGCAGUUAAUCAGUAAUUCAGUAACUUUUGAAAGGAGUUGAAGUCAUAGAGAGUUAAGUCUCUAAAAAAAAUAAUGCUGUUUGAGAGAAGGUAUUUGCAGAUUGAGAGUUAAAGAGAUUGGACCUGAUCAGCUGUUCAUUAAAAUUAAACCAUGAAAAAUUAGACCUUUUUAAAAACUAAGAAAGCUUGAAAAACAGACAAUCAAAGGUCCGUGUGGAAAAUGUUAAUUCAAGUUAGCAAAUGUAUGUAAGUGCCCUUGGUUCACAUAAUUCAGUACAUUGCUGUAAUACCUGUUUUAAGAUUUAUGGCUCUCCCUGGAGAAAAAAACUCACCAGCCACUACUGAACUAUAUAUGAAUGAAAAUUAAUAUAGAAAAAUAAAUAAAUAAACAGUCUGGUUUUCACUCAGAUUUAUUUGUAGGUAAGUAACUGCUGACUCAUAGCUAAAAAUAACAGGUUAGAAAAUAAAAUACCCGGGUACCAAAAGCCAGUACCAGUCUGAGGAAUUCUAAAGUUUGUCCACAACUCCAUGAGGAUGGCUGGGUAGGUGGGAUUUAUGACCUAUACUGCAGCCUGUUACCAGAGUGUGCUGUUCACGGGGUUGCUUCACCCAGCGAGGAGGCAGACGCUGUCCAGUCUAUAUACAGUCUAUGGUUACAACCCCAGAGCCUCUUCGGUAUAGAAACUUGACUGUCAUCUAAAAUCAAUCAUGUGCAGGACGCCUCUGUAAAUGUAAGAUAACUUAAUGACUGCAGCCUCCGGCAGGUUCUUGGUAUCUUGUGCUCUGAAUCCUCAUUCAUGAGUAGCCUAUAGGUUUUGCAUUCAGUAAAUGUUGAUAUUGAAUAUUCUGAAUGUGAGAAAUGUCCCCCAUAAUGAAAUGGUUGUUGGAUUUUAAUUAAAACUAAACACGACUCACUUCCAGAAGAGCUACUUGUGAAUAAAAUCCAUAAUUCUGUACACCCACACAGGAUCACUUUGCAUUGAUCCCAUUACAGUUUAAGCUGUUUCCAAAGUGGGAUUUACAGCUUCAGCCAAAAGAUUUAGACUCUAAAUAUAAUCCAACAUUUCUAAAUCCACUGUGUAUAAUUAGAUUUGAGUGUUUCUCAGGUUUACAUUCUCUGUCUGACUGGAGGGAUACUGUGAGAAACUGCAUUGUAGAUUUCUGUGAUUUGGCUCCCAGAGUUGGCUCGAGGCUAAGAGCUGUGUCUCCCUCCUGAACGAACAGGGAAAAUAAGUUUUGGAGAAACUAAUUGUUGCCCAGGGGGGAAUUUUGAGAGAUCUUCAAACAGAAAAUCUCCAGCUGUCACUGAGAUUUUUGCCAACAAAUUGGGAUGAAAAUGUGUCUUGAAUUAGUCUCUUUCCAUGCAAGGUAUUCAAGCUGUCAUAGUUUAGGCGUUUUAGAUGCAGCUUGUGUGUAUCUCUCUGAACGUGAACCAUUGUGAACUUGUCACCGUGAGGGUCUGGAACAGGGGUCGGCAACCCGCGGCUCUGGAGCCGCAUGCGGCUCUUUCUUCCCUAAGCUGCGGCUCCCAAUGGAUUUGGAAAAUAAAUAAUAAAUACUUAAUUACAUUUUAUUUUAUUUUAUUAUUAUUAUUUUGUAAUUCUAAAUUCAAAGAUUAUAAUGCUCUUGUAACAUUAAAUAAACUAUUAAGGCUGCAACAACGUAUCGAUUAAGUCGAUUCGUCGUGACGAAAAAAUCCGUUGCCAACAAAUUCUGUAAUCGAUUCGUCGGGUCUUUAUAUAUGUCCAUGGACACCGGCGUGUAAACAUCAGCAGGACGCACAGAAAAGAAACAGCCAUGGCCGAGGCAGCGGCUGAGAAAAACAUGGACACAACCCAACCCAAAUCCCGACCUAAAACAUCAGUGGUGUGGGAAAACUUUACCAAGACUGAAAAGGAAGGCGUUCAGUGCAACAUUUGCGAAGACCGUUUUGCAUGGCUCGGGAGUACAUCGAUGAUGCGUGAGCACAGGGCUCUCAAGUCUCACGCAUUCAGUGUAUGACACACGCAAUCCCACUCGUUCACACGCUCACACACCACACAUUGUAUUUCUCACGCAUUUAAAUGAACACGGUGAUGUCCACCAAGUUGCACUUCUUCAACUACAGAACAGGGGGAAAUCAACUGAGUUUCUCAGAGAGUUCAGAAGCUGCGUGCCACGCACAAGCCAAUCAAAUAAAGUAUAUCUACUGAACAGCCAAUCAAAAAGCAGCAUUGCUGUAUCCGGGUAGAUUUUGAUAUCUUGCGGUUUAACUACAGAAGAAGACAGACACUCGCCGAAAUAGUUCAUUUAUUUCAUAAAUGCAACUCGCUACAGUUUUUUAUAUACUUUGUAUAAAGGUAAAAAAAAAAAAGAUAUAUGCAAUGUUAUCUUCAUUUUAGAUGUCAAAGAGGUUUUGUGGCUCCCUGUGUUUUCUUUUCUGUGGGAAACUGGUCCAAGUGGCUCUUUGAGUGUUUAAGGUUGCCGACCCCUGGUCUGGAAUAACUUGUUUGGUCUCACUGUAUGGUCCAGUUACAACAGGUUUGACUCAUGUAAUUAAAAACUGAAUAUCAAGGGUGCAUGUCAUUUUUUCAAGUUGUUUCAUCAGCAACAAUCUGAAUUCCUGCAUGGCAUCAUGUUAUGAGAAGGUUACCUGCUUUCUCAAAUUUAACACUAUGUUAACUCCUCAGGAGGUAGUUUACUUGACGUAUUAAAUGAGGUUUGUUAGCUUUCUUGUGCAACUCUCACCCUGUGUGAGGUGAAAACUGUGUUGUUACUCUCAUAUGUUCUGUUAAUUCACUUUUCUUCUGGUUUUAUUUGAGAGAAUCUUGUGUAUUUUUCUUGGUGUUACUGUUCCCUAUUGUUCCUGUUCCCCUGUAGUCCAGUCUUGUGAGUUUUUAGUUUGUGUUUGACCCUGUUUCCCUCCUGGGGCCUGUUCUACGAAGCAGGAUUACUGCUUAGCGAGGUAACUUCGAGGGUAAGUUCGGGGUUUCCUGUUCUAUGACCCGGGUUCACUUCUUAGCAAGGCGAGUCUCCUUGGCAACAUACGAUGAACAGCUAACCUGCUCUGGGGCAGGUUAAGUUCCAGAUUAAACUCACCGAGUAUAAAAACCCUGCCCACUGACCAAUGAGCUCUCUUGAAAAAUGGCUUGUCCGUUCUUGGAGGAUCCAGUAGACCUCGGUGCUUGCAUUGUACGAGGAGCACUCCGGCGCGCAAGAGUUUUUAGGGACCGCAAAUCCUGAUGUUUCUACCACAAGUUUUUUCUUUUCACCCAGCCUAAAAGUCCUGAUUAUCAGUUCUGGGUCCCUGACAAUGACUGUUGGGUACAAACUGCAAAGCUUUGUUCUGCAGGAAGGGCUGGGCUUUUCAUUAACCAUGUGGGUCGAAUAGUUCUGUGGGAUAAGUGUGUUGUGUCAGCCACUAUGUUUUCUGCACUUGUGACUAGAGAGCACCUUGAUAGCUCAGUUGGUAGAGCGGUGGACUGUAAGAUGCUCCUUGUGUGAAACGCUGUGAUCCUAAGGUCGCUGGUUCAACUCCAGCGCCAAGCACCUCCUUGUCAUUGGAAAUACCCCCAAGCCUUGUCUUUAUCUGUCAACUCCUCCAAAAUGUCAAAACACAAACAAGAUAACUCUUUCUUAAAUUUUCAACCAUCAAUUUUUUAUUCACCCAGCCUAAAAGUCCUGAUUAUCAGUUCUGGGUCCCUGGCAAUGACUGUUGGGUACAAACUGCAAAGCUUUGUUCUGCAGGUAGGGCUGGGCUUUUCAUUGACCAUGGGUUGGAAUAGUUCUGUGGGCAUAGUGUGUCUUCGAAGCCACUAUGUUUUCUGCACUUGUGACUAGAGAGCACCUUGAUAGCUCAGUUGGUAGAGCGGUGGACUGUAAGAUGCUCCUUGUGUGAAACGCUAUGAUCCUAAGGUCGCUGGUUCAACUCCAGCGCCAAGCACCUCCUUGUCAUUGGAAAUACCCCCAAGCCUUGUCUUUAUCUGUCAACUCCUCCAAAAUGUCAAAACACAAACAAGAUAACUCUUUCUUAAAUUUUCAACCAUCAAUUUUUUAUUCACCCAGCCUAAAAGUCCUGAUUAUCAGUUCUGGGUCCCUGGCAAUGACUGUUGGGUACAAACUGCAAAGCUUUGUUCUGCAGGUAGGGCUGGGCUUUUCAUUGACCAUGGGUUGGAAUAGUUCUGUGGGCAUAGUGUGUCUUCGAAGCCACUAUGUUUUCUGCACUUGUGACUAGAGAGCACCUUGAUAGCUCAGUUGGUAGAGCGGUGGACUGUAAGAUGCUCCUUGUGUGAAACGCUGUGAUGCUAAGGUCGCUGGUUCAACUCCAGCUCCAAGCACCUCCUUGUCAUUGGAAAUACCCCCAAGCCUUGUCUUUAUCUGUCAACUCCUCCAAAAUGUCGAAACACAAACAAGAUAACUCUUUCUUAAAUUUUCAACCAUCAAUUUUUUAUUCACCCAGCCUAAAAGUCCUGAUUAUCAGUUCUGGGUCCCUGGCAAUGACUGUUGGGUACAAACUGCAAAGCUUUGUUCAGCAGGUAGGGCUAGGCUUUUCAUUGACCAUGGGUUGGAAUAGUUCUGUGGGCAUAGUGUGUCUUCGAAGCCACCAUGUUUUCUGCACUUGUGACUAGAGAGCACCUUCAUAGCUCAGUUGGUAGAGCUGUGGACUGUAAGAUGCUCCUUGUGUGAAACGCUGUGAUGCUAAAUUCGCUGGUUCAACUCCAGCUCCAAGCACCUCCUUGUCAUUGGAAAUACCCCCAAGCCUUGUCUUUAUCUGUCAACUCCUCCAAAAUGUCGAAACACAAAGAAGAUAACUCUUUCUUGAAUUUUCAACCAUCAAUUUUUUAUUCACCCAGCCUAAAAGUCCUGAUUAUCAGUUCUGGGUCCCUGGUAAUGACUGUUGGGUACAAACUGCAAAGCUUUGUUCUGCAGGUAGGGCUGGGCUUUUCAUUGACCAUGGUUUGGAAUAGUUCUGUGGGCAUAGUGUGUCUUCGAAGCCACUAUGUUUUCUGCACUUGUGACUAGAGAGCACCUUGAUAGCUCAGUUGGUAGAGCGGUGGACUGUAAGAUGCUCCUUGUGUGAAACGCUGUGAUGCUAAGGUCGCUGGUUCAACUCCACCUCCAAGCACCUCCUUGUCAUUCGAAAUACCCCCAAGCCUUGUUUUUAUCUGUCAACUCCUCCAAAAUGUCGAAACACAAAAAAGAUAACUCUUUCUUGAAUUUUCAACCAUCAAUUUUUUAUUCACCCAGCCUAAAAGUCCUGAUUAUCAGUUCUGGGUCCCUGGCAAUGACUGUUGGGUACAAACUGCAAAGCUUUGUUCUGCAGGUAGGGCUGGGCUUUUCAUUGACCAUGGGUUGGAAUAGUUCUGUGGGCAUAGUGUGUCGUCGAAGCCACCAUGUUUUCUGCACUUGCGACUAGAGAGCACCUUGAUAGCUCAGUUGGUAGAGCGGUGGACUGUAAGAUGCUCCUUGUGUGAAACGCUGUGAUCCUAAGGUCGCUGGUUCAACUCCAGCUCCAAGCACCUCCUUGUCAUUGGAAAUACCCCCAAGCCUUGUCUUUAUCUGUCAACUCCUCCAAAAUGUCAAAACACAAAGAAGAUAACUCUUUCUUAAAUUUUCAACCAUCAAUGUUUUAUUCACCCAGCCUAAAAGUCCUGAUUAUCAGUUCUGGGUCCCUGGCAAUGACUGUUGGGUACAAACUGCAAAGCUUUGUUCUGCAGGUAGGGCUGGGCUUUUCAUUGACCAUGGGUUGGAAUAGUUCUGUGGGCAUAGUGUGUCUUCGAAGCCACUAUGUUUUCUGCACUUGUGACUAGAGAGCACCUUGAUAGCUCAGUUGGUAGAGCGGUGGACUGUAAGAUGCUCCUUGUGUGAAACGCUGUGAUGCUCAGGUCGCUGGUUCAACUCCAGCUCCAAGCACCUCCUUGUCAUUGGAAAUACCCCCAAGCCUUGUCUUUAUCUGUCAACUCCUCCAAAAUGUCGAAACACAAACAAGAUAACUCUUUCUUAAAUUUUCAACCAUCAAUUUUUUAUUCACCCAGCCUAAAAGUCCUGAUUAUCAGUUCUGGGUCCCUGGCAAUGACUGUUGGGUACAAACUGCAAAGCUUUGUUCUGCAGGUAGGGCUGGGCUUUUCAUUGACCAUGGGUUGGAAUAGUUCUGUGGGCAUAGUGUGUCUUCGAAGCCACCAUGUUUUCUGCACUUGUGACUAGAGAGCACCUUCAUAGCUCAGUUGGUAGAGCUGUGGACUGUAAGAUGCUCCUUGUGUGAAACGCUGUGAUGCUAAGGUCGCUGGUUCAACUCCAGCUCCAAGCACCUCCUUGUCAUUGGAAAUACCCCCAAGCACUUGUCUUUAUCUGUCAACUCCUCCAAAAUGUCAAAACACAAAGAAGAUAACUCUUUCUUAAAUUUUCAACCAUCAAUUUUUUAUUCACCCAGACUAAAAGUCCUGAUUAUCAGUUCUGGGUCCCUGGCAAUGACUGUUGGGUACAAACUGCAAAGCUUUGUUCUGCAGGUAGGGCUGGGCUUUUCAUUGACCAUGGGUUGGAAUAGUUCUGUGGGCAUAGUGUGUCUUCGAAGCCACUAUGUUUUCUGCACUUGUGACUAGAGAGCACCUUGAUAGCUCAGUUGGUAGAGCGGUGGACUGUAAGAUGCUCCUUGUGUGAAACGCUGUGAUGCUAAGGUCGCUGGUUCAACUCCAGCUCCAAGCACCUCCUUGUCAUUGGAAAUACCCCCAAGCCUUGUCUUUAUCUGUCAACUCCUCCAAAAUGUCGAAACACAAAGAAGAUAACUCUUUCUUAAAUUUUCAACCAUCAAUUUUUUAUUCACCCAGCCUAAAAGUCCUGAUUAUCAGUUCUGGGUCCCUGGCAAUGACUGUUGGGUACAAACUGCAAAGCUUUGUUCUGCAGGUAGGGCUGGGCUUUUCAUUGACCAUGGGUUGGAAUAGUUCUGUGGGCAUAGUGUGUCGUCGAAGCCACCAUGUUUUCUGCACUUGCGACUAGAGAGCACCUUGAUAGCUCAGUUGGUAGAGCGGUGGACUGUAAGAUGCUCCUUGUGUGAAACGCUGUGAUCCUAAGGUCGCUGGUUCAACUCCAGCUCCAAGCACCUCCUUGUCAUUGGAAAUACCCCCAAGCCUUGUCUUUAUCUGUCAACUCCUCCAAAAUGUCAAAACACAAAGAAGAUAACUCUUUCUUAAAUUUUCAACCAUCAAUGUUUUAUUCACCCAGCCUAAAAGUCCUGAUUAUCAGUUCUGGGUCCCUGGCAAUGACUGUUGGGUACAAACUGCAAAGCUUUGUUCUGCAGGUAGGGCUGGGCUUUUCAUUGACCAUGGGUUGGAAUAGUUCUGUGGGCAUAGUGUGUCUUCGAAGCCACUAUGUUUUCUGCACUUGUGACUAGAGAGCACCUUAAUAGCUCAGUUGGUAGAGCGGUGGACUGUAAGAUGCUCCUUGUGUGAAACGCUGUGAUGCUAAGGUCGCUGGUUCAACUCCAGCUCCAAGCACCUCCUUGUCAUUGGAAAUACCCCCAAGCCUUGUCUUUAUCUGUCAACUCCUCCAAAAUGUCGAAACACAAACAAGAUAACUCUUUCUUAAAUUUUCAACCAUCAAUUUUUUAUUCACCCAGCCUAAAAGUCCUGAUUAUCAGUUCUGGGUCCCUGGCAAUGACUGUUGGGUACAAACUGCAAAGCUUUGUUCUGCAGGUAGGGCUGGGCUUUUCAUUGACCAUGGGUUGGAAUAGUUCUGUGGGCAUAGUGUGUCUUCGAAGCCACCAUGUUUUCUGCACUUGUGACUAGAGAGCACCUUCAUAGCUCAGUUGGUAGAGCUGUGGACUGUAAGAUGCUCCUUGUGUGAAACGCUGUGAUGCUAAGGUCGCUGGUUCAACUCCAGCUCCAAGCACCUCCUUGUCAUUGGAAAUACCCCCAAGCCUUGUCUUUAUCUGUCAACUCCUCCAAAAUGUCAAAACACAAAGAAGAUAACUCUUUCUUAAAUUUUCAACCAUCAAUUUUUUAUUCACCCAGACUAAAAGUCCUGAUUAUCAGUUCUGGGUCCCUGGCAAUGACUGUUGGGUACAAACUGCAAAGCUUUGUUCUGCAGGUAGGGCUGGGCUUUUCAUUGACCAUGGGUUGGAAUAGUUCUGUGGGCAUAGUGUGUCUUCGAAGCCACUAUGUUUUCUGCACUUGUGACUAGAGAGCACCUUGAUAGCUCAGUUGGUAGAGCGGUGGACUGUAAGAUGCUCCUUGUGUGAAACGCUGUGAUGCUAAGGUCGCUGGUUCAACUCCAGCUCCAAGCACCUCCUUGUCAUUGGAAAUACCCCCAAGCCUUGUCUUUAUCUGUCAACUCCUCCAAAAUGUCGAAACACAAAGAAGAUAACUCUUUCUUAAAUUUUCAACCAUCAAUUUUUUAUUCACCCAGCCUAAAAGUCCUGAUUAUCAGUUCUGGGUCCCUGGCAAUGACUGUUGGGUACAAACUGCAAAGCUUUGUUCUGCAGGUAGGGCUGGGCUUUUCAUUGACCAUGGGUUGGAAUAGUUCUGUGGGCAUAGUGUGUCGUCGAAGCCACCAUGUUUUCUGCACUUGCGACUAGAGAGCACCUUGAUAGCUCAGUUGGUAGAGCGGUGGACUGUAAGAUGCUCCUUGUGUGAAACGCUGUGAUCCUAAGGUCGCUUGUUCAACUCCAGCUCCAAGCACCUCCUUGUCAUUGGAAAUACCCCCAAGCCUUGUCUUUAUCUGUCAACUCCUCCAAAAUGUCAAAACACAAAGAAGAUAACUCUUUCUUAAAUUUUCAACCAUCAAUGUUUUAUUCACCCAGCCUAAAAGUCCUGAUUAUCAGUUCUGGGUCCCUGGCAAUGACUGUUGGGUACAAACUGCAAAGCUUUGUUCUGCAGGUAGGGCUGGGCUUUUCAUUGACCAUGGGUUGGAAUAGUUCUGUGGGCAUAGUGUGUCUUCGAAGCCACUAUGUUUUCUGCACUUGUGACUAGAGAGCACCUUGAUAGCUCAGUUGGUAGAGCGGUGGACUGUAAGAUGCUCCUUGUGUGAAACGCUGUGAUGCUAAGGUGGCUGGUUCAACUCCAGCUCCAAGCACCUCCUUGUCAUUGGAAAUACCCCCAAGCCUUGUCUUUAUCUGUCAACUCCUCCAAAAUGUCGAAACACAAACAAGAUAACUCUUUCUUAAAUUUUCAACCAUCAAUUUUUUAUUCACCCAGCCUAAAAGUCCUGAUUAUCAGUUCUGGGUCCCUGGCAAUGACUGUUGGGUACAAACUGCAAAGCUUUGUUCUGCAGGUAGGGCUGGGCUUUUCAUUGACCAUGGGUUGGAAUAGUUCUGUGGGCAUAGUGUGUCUUCGAAGCCACCAUGUUUUCUGCACUUGUGACUAGAGAGCACCUUCAUAGCUCAGUUGGUAGAGCUGUGGACUGUAAGAUGCUCCUUGUGUGAAACGCUGUGAUGCUAAGGUCGCUGGUUCAACUCCAGCUCCAAGCACCUCCUUGUCAUUGGAAAUACCCCCAAGCCUUGUCUUUAUCUGUCAACUCCUCCAAAAUGUCGAAACACAAAGAAGAUAACUCUUUCUUGAAUUUUCAACCAUCAAUUUUUUAUUCACCCAGCCUAAAAGUCCUGAUUAUCAGUUCUGGGUCCCUGGUAAUGACUGUUGGGUACAAACUGCAAAGCUUUGUUCUGCAGGUAGGGCUGGGCUUUUCAUUGACCAUGGUUUGGAAUAGUUCUGUGGGCAUAGUGUGUCUUCGAAGCCACUAUGUUUUCUGCACUUGUGACUAGAGAGCACCUUGAUAGCUCAGUUGGUAGAGCGGUGGACUGUAAGAUGCUCCUUGUGUGAAACGCUGUGAUGCUAAGGUCGCUGGUUCAACUCCACCUCCAAGCACCUCCUUGUCAUUGGAAAUACCCCCAAGCCUUGUCUUUAUCUGUCAACUCCUCCAAAAUGUCGAAACACAAAAAAGAUAACUCUUUCUUGAAUUUUCAACCAUCAAUUUUUUAUUCACCCAGCCUAAAAGUCCUGAUUAUCAGUUCUGGGUCCCUGGCAAUGACUGUUGGGUACAAACUGCAAAGCUUUGUUCUGCAGGUAGGGCUGGGCUUUUCAUUGACCAUGGGUUGGAAUAGUUCUGUGGGCAUAGUGUGUCGUCGAAGCCACCAUGUUUUCUGCACUUGCGACUAGAGAGCACCUUGAUAGCUCAGUUGGUAGAGCGGUGGACUGUAAGAUGCUCCUUGUGUGAAACGCUGUGAUCCUAAGGUCGCUGGUUCAACUCCAGCUCCAAGCACCUCCUUGUCAUUGGAAAUACCCCCAAGCCUUGUCUUUAUCUGUCAACUCCUCCAAAAUGUCAAAACACAAAGAAGAUAACUCUUUCUUAAAUUUUCAACCAUCAAUUUUUUAUUCACUCAGCCUAAAAGUCCUGAUUAUCAGUUCUGGGUCCCUGGCAAUGACUGUUGGGUACAAACUGCAAAGCUUUGUUCUGCAGGUAGGGCUGGGCUUUUCAUUGACCAUGGGUUGGAAUAGUUCUGUGGGCAUAGUGUGUCUUCGAAGCCACUAUGUUUUCUGCACUUGUGACUAGAGAGCACCUUGAUAGCUCAGUUGGUAGAGCGGUGGACUGUAAGAUGCUCCUUGUGUGAAACGCUGUGAUGCUAAGGUCGCUGGUUCAACUCCAGCUCCAAGCACCUCCUUGUCAUUGGAAAUACCCCCAAGCCUUGUCUUUAUCUGUCAACUCCUCCAAAAUGUCGAAACACAAAGAAGAUAACUCUUUCUUAAAUUUUCAACCAUCAAUUUUUUAUUCACCCAGCCUAAAAGUCCUGAUUAUCAGUUCUGGGUCCCUGGCAAUGACUGUUGGGUACAAACUGCAAAGCUUUGUUCUGCAGGUAGGGCUGGGCUUUUCAUUGACCAUGGGUUGGAAUAGUUCUGUGGGCAUAGUGUGUCUUCGAAGCCACUAUGUUUUCUGCACUUGUGACUAGAGAGCACCUUGAUAGCUCAGUUGGUAGAGCGGUGGACUGUUAGAUGCUCCUUGUGUGAAAUGCUGUGAUCCUAAGGUCGCUGGUUCAACUCCAGCUCCAAGCACCUCCUUAUCAUUGGAAAUACCCCCAAGCCUUGUCUUUAUCUGUCAACUCCUCCAAAAUGUCAAAACACAAAGAAGAUAACUCUUUCUUAAAUUUUCAACCAUCAAUUUUUUAUUCACCCAGCCUAAAAGUCCUGAUUAUCAGUUCUGGGUCCCUGGCAAUGACUGUUGGGUACAAACUGCAAAGCUUUGUUCUGCAGGUAGGGCUGGGCUUUUCAUUGACCAUGGGUUGGAAUAGUUCUGUGGGCAUAGUGUGUCUUCGAAGCCACUCUGUUUUCUGCACUUGUGACUAGAGAGCACCUUGAUAGCUCAGUUGGUAGAGCGGUGGACUGUAAGAUGCUCCUUGUGUGAAACGCUGUGAUCCUAAGGUCGCUGGUUCAACUCCAGCUCCAAGCACCUCCUUGUCAUUGGAAAUACCCCCAAGCCUUGUCUUUAUCUGUCAACUCCUCCAAAAUGUCAAAACACAAACAAGAUAACUCUUUCUUAAAUUUUCAACCAUCAAUUUUUUAUUCACUCAGCCUAAAAGUCCUGAUUAUCAGUUCUGGGUCCCUGGCAAUGACUGUUGGGUACAAACUGCAAAGCUUUGUUCUGCAGGUAGGGCUGGGCUUUUCAUUGACCAUGGGUUGGAAUAGUUCUGUGGGCAUAGUGUGUCUUCGAAGCCACUAUGUUUUCUGCACUUGAGACUAGAGAGCACCUUGAUAGCUCAGUUCGUAGAGCGGUGGACUUUAAGAUCCUCCUUGUGUGAAACGCUGUGAUCCUAAGGUCGCUGGUUCAACUCCAGCUCCAAGCACCUCCUUGUCAUUGGAAAUACCCCCAAGCCUUGUCUUUAUCUGUCAACUCCUCCAAAAUGUCAAAACACAAAGAAGAUAACUCUUUCUUAAAUUUUCAACCAUCAAUUUUUUAUUCACCCAGACUAAAAGUCCUGAUUAUCAGUUCUGGGUCCCUGGCAAUGACUGUUGGGUACAAACUGCAAAGCUUUGUUCUGCAGGUAGGGCUGGGCUUUUCAUUGACCAUGGGUUGGAAUAGUUCUGUGGGCAUAGUGUGUCUUCGAAGCCACUAUGUUUUCUGCACUUGUGACUAGAGAGCACCUUGAUAGCUCAGUUGGUAGAGCGGUGGACUGUAAGAUGCUCCUUGUGUGAAACGCUGUGAUGCUAGGGUCGCUGGUUCAACUCCAGCUCCAAGCACCUCCUUGUCAUUGUAAAUACCCCCAAGCCUUGUCUUUAUCUGUCAACUCCUCCAAAAUGUCGAAACACAAAGAAGAUAACUCUUUCUUAAAUUUUCAACCAUCAAUUUUUUAUUCACCCAGCCUAAAAGUCCUGAUUAUCAGUUCUGGGUCCCUGGCAAUGACUGUUGGGUACAAACUGCAAAGCUUUGUUCUGCAGGUAGGGCUGGGCUUUUCAUUGACCAUGGGUUGGAAUAGUUCUGUGGGCAUAGUGUGUCUUCGAAGCCACUAUGUUUUCUGCACUUGUGACUAGAGAGCACCUUGAUAGCUCAGUUGGUAGAGCGGUGGACUGUAAGAUGCUCCUUGUGUGAAACGCUGUGAUGCUAAGGUCGCUGGUUCAACUCCAGCUCCAAGCACCUCCUUGUCAUUGGAAAUACCCCCAAGCCUUGUCUUUAUCUGUCAACUCAUCCAAAAUGUCGAAACACAAACAAGAUAACUCUUUCUUAAAUUUUCAACCAUCAAUUUUUUAUUCACCCAGCCUAAAAGUCCUGAUUAUCAGUUCUGGGUCCCUGGCAAUGACUGUUGGGUACAAACUGCAAAGCUUUGUUCUGCAGGUAGGGCUGGGCUUUUCAUUGACCAUGGGUUGGAAUAGUUCUGUGGGCAUAGUGUGUCUUCGAAGCCACCAUGUUUUCUGCACUUGUGACUAGAGAGCACCUUGAUAGCUCAGUUGGUAGAGCUGUGGACUGUAAGAUGCUCCUUGUGUGAAACGCUGUGAUGCUAAGGUCGCUGGUUCAACUCCACCUCCAAGCACCUCCUUGUCAUUGGAAAUACCCCCAAGCCUUGUCUUUAUCUGUCAACUCCUCCAAAAUGUCGAAACACAAAGAAGAUAACUCUUUCUUGAAUUUUCAACCAUCAAUUUUUUAUUCACCCAGCCUAAAAGUCCUGAUUAUCAGUUCUGGGUCCCUGGUAAUGACUGUUGGGUACAAACUGCAAAGCUUUGUUUUGCAGGUAGGGCUGGGCUUUUCAUUGACCAUGGUUUGGAAUAGUUCUGUGGGCAUAGUGUGUCUUCGAAGCCACUAUGUUUUCUGCACUUGUGACUAGAGAGCACCUUGAUAGCUCAGUUGUUAGAGCGGUGGACUGUAAGAUGCUCCUUGUGUGAAACGCUGUGAUGCUAAGGUAGCUGGUUCAACUCCACCUCCAAGCACCUCCUUGUCAUUGGAAAUACCCCCAAGCCUUGUCUUUAUCUGUCAACUCCUCCAAAAUGUCGAAACACAAAAAAGAUAACUCUUUCUUGAAUUUUCAACCAUCAAUUUUUUAUUCACCCAGCCUAAAAGUCCUGAUUAUCAGUUCUGGGUCCCUGGCAAUGACUGUUGGGUACAAACUGCAAAGCUUUGUUCUGCAGGUAGGGCUGGGCUUUUCAUUGACCAUGGGUUGGAAUAGUUCUGUGGGCAUAGUGUGUCGUCGAAGCCACCAUGUUUUCUGCACUUGCGACUAGAGAGCACCUUGAUAGCUCAGUUGGUAGAGCGUUGGACUGUAAGAUGCUCCUUGUGUGAAACGCUGUGAUCCUAAGGUCGCUGGUUCAACUCCAGCUCCAAGCACCUCCUUGUCAUUGGAAAUACCCCCAAGCCUUGUCUUUAUCUGUCAACUCCUCCAAAAUCUCAAAACACAAAGAAGAUAACUCUUUCUUAAAUUUUCAACCAUCAAUGUUUUAUUCACCCAGCCUAAAAGUCCUGAUUAUCAGUUCUGGGUCCCUGGCAAUGACUGUUGGGUACAAACUGCAAAGCUUUGUUCUGCAGGUAGGGCUGGGCUUUUCAUUGACCAUGGGUUGGAAUAGUUCUGUGGGCAUAGUGUGUCUUCGAAGCCACUAUGUUUUCUGCACUUGUGACUAGAGAGCACCUUGAUAGCUCAGUUGGUAGAGCGGUGGACUGUAAGAUGCUCCUUGUGUGAAACGCCAUGAUCCUAAGGUCGCUGGUUCAACUCCAGCUCCAAGCACCUCCUUGUCAUUGGAAAUACCCCCAAGCCUUGUCUUUAUCUGUCAACUCCUCCAAAAUGUCAAAACACAAACAAGAUAACUCUUUCUUAAAUUUUCAACCAUCAAUUUUUUAUUCACCCAGCCUAAAAGUCCUGAUUAUCAGUUCUGGGUCCCUGGCAAUGACUGUUGGGUACAAACUGCAAAGCUUUGUUCUGCAGGUAGGGCUGGGCUUUUCAUUGACCAUGGGUUGGAAUAGUUCUGUGGGCAUAGUGUGUCUUCGAAGCCACUAUGUUUUCUGCACUUGUGACUAGAGAGCACCUUGAUAGCUCAGUUGGUAGCGCGGUGGACUGUUAGAUGCUCCUUGUGUGAAAUGCUGUCAUCCUAAGGUCCCUGGUUCAACUCCAGCUCCAAGCACCUCCUUGUCAUUGGAAAUACCCCCAAGCCUUGUCUUUAUCUGUCAACUCCUCCAAAAUGUCAAAACACAAAGAAGAUAACUCUUUCUUAAAUUUUCAACCAUCAAUUUUUUAUUCACCCAGCCUAAAAGUCCUGAUUAUCAGUUCUGGGUCCCUGGCAAUGACUGUUGGGUACAAACUGCAAAGCUUUGUUCUGCAGGUAGGGCUGGGCUUUUCAUUGACCAUGGGUUGGAAUAGUUCUGUGGGCAUAGUGUGUCUUCGAAGCCACUAUGUUUUCUGCACUUGUGACUAGAGAGCACCUUGAUAGCUCAGUUGGUAGCGCGGUGGACUGUUAGAUGCUCCUUGUGUGAAAUGCUGUCAUCCUAAGGUCCCUGGUUCAACUCCAGCUCCAAGCACCUCCUUGUCAUUGGAAAUACCCCCAAGCCUUGUCUUUAUCUGUCAACUCCUCCAAAAUGUCAAAACACAAAGAAGAUAACUCUUUCUUAAAUUUUCAACCAUCAAUUUUUUAUUCACCCAGCCUAAAAGUCCUGAUUAUCAGUUCUGGGUCCCUGGCAAUGACUGUUGGGUACAAACUGCAAAGCUUUGUUCUGCAGGUAGGGCUGGGCUUUUCAUUGACCAUGGGUUGGAAUAGUUCUGUGGGCAUAGUGUGUCUUUGAAGCCACUAUGUUUUCUGCACUUGUGACUAGAGAGCACCUUGAUAGCUCAGUUGGUAGACCGGUGGACUGUAAGAUGCUCCUUGUGUGAAACGCUGUGAUCCUAAGGUCGCUGGUUCAACUCCAGCUCCAAGCACCUCCAUGUCAUUGGAAAUACCCCCAAGCCUUGUCUUUAUCUGUCAACUCCUCCAAAAUGUCAAAACACAAAGAAGAUAACUCUUUCUUAAAUUUUCAACCAUCAAUUUUUUAUUCACUCAGCCUAAAAGUCCUGAUUAUCAGUUCUGGGUCCCUGGCAAUGACUGUUGGGUACAAACUGCAAAGCUGUGUUCUGCAGGUAGGGCUGGGCUUUUCAUUGACCAUGGGUUGGAAUAGUUCUGUGGGCAUAGUGUGUCUUCGAAGCCACUAUGUUUUCUGCACUUGUGACUAGAGAGCACCUUGAUAGCUCAGUUGGUAGAGCGGUGGACUCUAAGAUGCUCCUUGUGUGAAAAGCUGUGAUCCUAAGGUCACUGGUUCAACUCCAGCUCCAAGCACCUCCUUGUCAUUGGAAAUACCCCCAAGCCUUGUCUUUAUCUGUCAACUCCUCCAAAAUGUCAAAACACAAAGAAUAUAACUCUUUCUUAAAUUUUCAACCAUCAAUUUUUUAUUCACCCAGCCUAAAAGUCCUGAUUAUCAGUUCUGGGUCCCUGGCAAUGACUGUUGGGUACAAACUGCAAAGCUUUGUUCUGCAGGUAGGGCUGGGCUUUUCAUUGACCAUGGGUUGGAAUAGUUCUGUGGGCAUAGUGUGUCUUCGAAGCCACUAUGUUUUCUGCACUUGUGACUAGAGAGCACCUUGAUAGCUCAGUUGGUAGAGCGGUGGACUGUAAGAUGCUCCUUGUGUGAAACGCCGUGAUCCUAAGCUCGCUGGUUCAACUCCAGCUCCAA